rnacentral:rRNA from 1 species
CCUACGGGAGGCAGCAGUGAGGAAUAUUGGUCAAUGGACGAGAGUCUGAACCAGCCAAGUAGCGUGAAGGAUGACUGCCCUAUGGGUUGUAAACUUCUUUUAUAUGGGAAUAAAACGUUCCACGUGUGGGAUUUUGUAUGUACCAUAUGAAUAAGGAUCGGCUAACUCCGUGCCAGCAGCCGCGGUAAUACGGAGGAUCCGAGCGUUAUCCGGAUUUAUUGGGUUUAAAGGGAGCGUAGGUGGAUUGUUAAGUCAGGUGUGAAAGUUUGCGGCUCAACCGUAAAAUUGCAGUUGAAACUGGCAGUCUUGAGUACAGUAGAGGUGGGCGGAAUUCGUGGUGUAGCGGUGAAAUGCUUAGAUAUCACGAAGAACUCCGAUUGCGAAGGCAGUUCACUGGACUGCAACUGACACUGAGGCUCGAAAGUGUGGGUAUCAAACAGGAUUAGAUACCCCAGUAGUC